GACGAACGCUGGCGGCGUGCUUAACACAUGCAAGUCGAACGGAAAGGCCCCUUUGUGGGUACUCGAGUGGCGAACGGGUGAGUAACACGUGCGUAACCUUCCCUUGACUUCGGGAUAACUUCAGGAAACUGGGGCUGAUACCGGUUAGGAAUCCUUGCUGCAUGGGGGGGGUUGGAAAGCUUCGGCGGGUUUGGAUGGACUCGCGGCGUAUCAGCUUGCUGGUGGGGUAGUGGCUUACCAAGGCUUUGACGGGUAGCCGGCCUGAGUGGGCGACCGGCCACACUGGGACUGAGGUACGGCCGAGACUCCGACGGGAGGGAGCAGGGCGGAAUAUUGCACAAGGGGCGGAAGCCUGAUGCAGAAACGCCGCGGGCGGGAUGACGGUCUUCGGGUUGUAAAACGCUUUCAGCAGGGGCGAAGCUUGUGGUGACGGUACCUGCAGAAGAAGCACCGGCUAACUACGUG
rnacentral:rRNA from 1 species